CCCUUAGAUGUUCUGGGCCGCACACGCGCUACACUGAAGGAGGCAGCGUGUACUCCUGGAUCGAAAGAUUUGGGUAACCCGCGAAUCUCCUUCGUGCUAGGGAUUGAGGUUUGCAAUUAUCCUUCAUGAACGAGGAAUUCCCAGUAAGUGCAAGUCAUAAGCUUGCGCUGACUACGUCCCUGCCCUUUGUACACACCGCCCGUCGCUCCUACCGAUUGAAUGGUCCGGUGAAAAUUUCGGACAGUGACGAUGCUGGCGGUCCGCCGCCGGCGCUGUCGCUGGAAGAUCUUUAAACCUUAUCAUUUAGAGGAAGGAGAAGUCGUAACA
rnacentral:rRNA from 1 species